GGAAAUGUCACCUGCAAUAAUGGUAACAUGCUUUUGUCUAACGGUAAUAACUUCCACAUUGUGCCAUUGCAUCAACCCUUUACCUAAGUAUUGUGCUAGAUCCUCAGACGGUGGCAUAGCUCCAUUGACUUUGACGGAGUGACACACCAAUUUGCACUGGCUGAUGGCUUUGGCCCUCUAACUAUAACUAC